CUCUAGUGAGAUGUAAGGUGCCCGUACCGCAAACCGACACAGGUAGGCGAGGAGAGAAUCCUAAGGUGUGCGAGAGAACUCUCGUUAAGGAACUCGGCAAAAUGCCCCCGUAACUUCGGGAGAAGGGGUGCUUUUUAGGGUGAAUAGCCCGGAAAAGCCGCAGUGAAUAGGCCCAGGCGACUGUUUAGCAAAAACACAGGUCUCUGCGAAGCCGCAAGGCGAAGUAUAGGGGCUGACACCUGCCCGGUGCUGGAAGGUUAAGGGGAGAGGUUAGCGCAAGCGAAGCUUUGAACCGAAGCCCC
rnacentral:rRNA from 1 species